rnacentral:rRNA from 1 species
UACGUAGGGUGCGAGCGUUGUCCGGAAUUAUUGGGCGUAAAGGGGCUCGUAGGCGGUUUGUCGCGUCGGGAGUGAAAUCCAGGGCUUAACUCUGGACUGGCUUCCGAUACGGGCAGACUAGAGGUAUGCAGGGGAGAACGGAAUUCCUGGUGUAGCGGUGAAAUGCGCAGAUAUCAGGAGGAACACCGGUGGCGAAGGCGGUUCUCUGGGCAUUACCUGACGCUGAGGAGCGAAAGUGUGGGGAGCGAACAGG